GACGUAGGAAGCAAGCGUUGUCCGGAAUUACUGGGCGUAAAGAGCUCGUAGGCGGGAUCGUAAGUCUCAGAGUAAAUCUCACGGCUCAACCGUGGGGCCUUCUGAGAUACUGCGAUUCUUGAGGAUGUCAGAGGUAAGUGGAAUUCCUGGUGUAGCGGUGAAAUGCGCAGAUAUCAGGAAGAACACCCGUGGCUAAGGCGGCUCUCUAGUACGGUACUGACGCUGAGACGCGAAAGCGUGGGGAGCGAACAGG
rnacentral:rRNA from 1 species